GACGAACCGUGCGAACGUUGUUCGGAAUCACUGGGCUUAAAGGGCGCGUAGGCGGGCUGCCAAGUCAGGGGUGAAAGCCCACGGCUCAACCGUGGAAGUGCCUUUGAUACUGGCGGCCUUGAGGGAGGUAGGGGCGUGCGGAACUUCCGGUGGAGCGGUGAAAUGCGUAGAUAUCGGAAGGAACACCGGUGGCGAAAGCGGCGCGCUGGACCUCUUCUGACGCUGAGGCGCGAAAGCCAGGGGAGCAAACGGG
rnacentral:rRNA from 1 species